rnacentral:rRNA from 1 species
CCUUCGGGGUGCAGCAGUGGGGAAUAUUGGGCAAUGGGCGCAAGCCUGACCCAGCAACGCCGCGUGAAGGAAGAAGGCUUUCGGGUUGUAAACUUCUUUUCUCAGGGACGAAGCAAGUGACGGUACCUGAGGAAUAAGCCACGGCUAACUACGUGCCAGCAGCCGCGGUAAUACGUAGGUGGCAAGCGUUAUCCGGAUUUACUGGGUGUAAAGGGCGUGUAGGCGGGACUGCAAGUCAGAUGUGAAAACCACGGGCUCAACCUGUGGCCUGCAUUUGAAACUGUAGUUCUUGAGUACUGGUGAGGCAGACGGAAUUCCUAGUGUAGCGGUGAAAUGCGUAGAUAUUAGGAGGAACACCAGUGGCGAAGGCAAGUGUCCGGGGUGCAACUGACGCUGAGGCUCGAAAGUGCGGGUAUCAAACAGGAUUAGAUACCCCAGUAGUC